rnacentral:rRNA from 1 species
AAGAUCCCGGGAACGAGCGCAACCCCUAUUAUUAGUUGCCAGCAUUUUGAAGGGCACUCUAAUGAGACUGCCGGUGACAAACCGGAGGAAGGUGGGGAUGACGUCAAAUCAGCAUGCCCCUUAUGACUUGGGCUACACACGUGCUACAAUGGAUGGUACAACGAGUCGCAAACCCGCGAGGGCAAGCAAAUCUCUUAAAGCCAUUCUCAGUUCGGAUUGCAGGCUGCAACUCGCCUGCAUGAAGCCGGAAUCGCUAGUAAUCGUGGAUCAGCACGCCACGGUGAAUACGUUCCCGGGCCUUGUACACACCG